GAUGAACGCUGACAGAAUGCUUAACACAUGCAAGUCCACUUGGUGGCGGACGGGUGAGUAACGCGUAAGAACUUGCCUCACAGCUAGGGCCAACAUUUGGAAACGAAUGCUACUACCUAAUACUGUGAGAGAGCUUUUCGUCCCAUUAGCUAGUUGGAGAGGUAACGGCUCACCAAGGCGAUGAUGGGUAGCCGGCCUGAGAGGGUGAACGGCCACACUGGUACUGGGACACGGCCCAGACACCGACGGGAGGCAGCAGGGGGGAAUAUUGCACAGUGGGCGAAAUCCUGAUGCAGCAAUGCCGCGUGUAUGAAGAAGGCCCUAGGGUUGUAAAGUACUUUCAGUCGGGAGGCGUUACCGACAGAAGAAGCACCGGCUAACUCCGUGCCAGCAGGCGCGGUAAUAC
rnacentral:rRNA from 1 species